AACCAUUUGACUUUGCAAUUAAAAACAGGUUUGGUCUCCCUCUGCAUCAGUAAGACAACGUCAAAGCUACAUUCACCCCGAAACAUUUCCCUUGUGAAUUCAAAUGAACAAUGGUGCUUCUGCAGAAAACAACUCAAUGAAGAAAUUGCCAGAAAGGAGACCUAUCAGAAAAGAGGCUUUAAAAAGUAUUUUCACUGGUGUCAAGGGCGACCUUGCUUUUUUUUCUUGUUAUUCCAUCUUUAUCAAGGAUGCUUGCCUCUUCUUGACUUACGGUGUUUAGAUUUGCUGACUUGAGUAGCAGAGGAUGGCAAUUCAAUGCUCUAUCCUAAGGGAGUUUUCUCAUCAUACUCAGUACUUGGAUAUUGUUUUCCUUUAUGCCCCAUUCCUAAAUUGCUGUAGCAAAGGUUCUUGCAAGUCAGCACACAUCCUUAAAAACACAGUUAAUGAAGAAGUAAGCAGAAUCUUCACCUUGUCACUUUUUUUUUAAUUCCCCUUGUUGUGUCUAGUCAUUUUGGCCCAAGCUUUCCCCCUCAGUUCCAUACUUGUAACUUGAAUUGAUUUAAUGUGCUCAGAGAAUUUAUACGACAUAAAUUUUUCCUUCAAGUUUUCAUCGUUUGGUGCUGUCAGCAAUGCUUCUCUGAUUCUCAGGGCAAGGAAGAACCCAUAUUUUUUCCUCCUACUUGUAAUGUCUGAGUAGUACAGGCCAUCCCGUAAGCUGCCAUAAGAGAAGAAAAAAGUGUCACCUUCCCUUAAUAAAAAGACAAGGAAAAAGAAGGGGGAAGAGUUAGUAUAUUAUUGUUUUUAGAACUCUGUCUUGGCAUGUUACAGAGAUAUUUCAUUUGACUGCAAUAAUAGUGCAAUAAAGUUAUAACAUCAGUUGCCUCAACAACAAGUCUCCCACCCACACAAUUUUGCCCUUCAAAUUUCUUACUCAUUUUUCUUGUUAAGUGUUUGUGGUCUGACUCUUAGUCAAGUCUCAUUUUGACCAACCUAUUGCCAUAGGCUACUAGUUGGUCAAUCACAAACUUAAUUAACAAAUGCAAUGAGAUGGCCCUAGCCUCUCCUCUUGCCUCCACUGCUCUCACAAGCUCAGCCAGAUAAUCUAGUUCAUCCACCUACAUCUGAGUGAGAGGGGUUCAAGAGACCAUAGGCUCUCCUACCGUGAUACAAGAGAAGCGUUUGGUACAGAACUGGAGAACCAAAGAUUGACUGUGGUUAUAACCCGAAAUAUAAAUGGAAGAGAGAAAAAAGAAGGGAAGAGGAGGAGAUGAACAAGGGAAUCAGAGAGACAGAGACAGAGAGACAGACAGAGAGACAAUGUCUUUUCCCAAGAAAAAGGAUUUUACAAAAAUAAAGAUAUAUUAUGGACUCUCCAAGUUUGUCCAGGUGACUCUACUCUUUUUUUUUUAAUAUAUACUUUACUCUUUAUAAAACCUUCAAAGCAGUGUGUUUGCAAGUAUGAGGAAUGUUAAACAUUAUUUUUGUCUAUAAUACUUGUUAGCAGUUGAGUCAAAUGUCUGAACCAAGAUCAUUAAACUACUUGAGAUUGUUGGGGUUGAACAGUGUCUUAAUUCAUUUCUAAUCUAUUCAAAUAAACACUAUUGCUAUUUAAACUUAACU